CCUACGGGCGGCAGCAGUGGGGAAUAUUGGACAAUGGGCGAAAGCCUGAUCCAGCCAUGCCGCGUGUGUGAAGAAGGCCUUCGGGUUGUAAAGCACUUUCAGUGGGGAAGAAAGCCUUGGGGCUAAUACCCUCGAGGAAGGACAUCACCCACAGAAGAAGCACCGGCUAACUCCGUGCCAGCAGCCGCGGUAAUACGGAGGGUGCGAGCGUUAAUCGGAAUUACUGGGCGUAAAGCGCGCGUAGGCGGUCUGAUAAGCCGGUUGUGAAAGCCCCGGGCUCAACCUGGGAACGGCAUCCGGAACUGUCAGGCUAGAGUGCAGGAGAGGAAGGUAGAAUUCCCGGUGUAGCGGUGAAAUGCGUAGAGAUCGGGAGGAAUACCAGUGGCGAAGGCGGCCUUCUGGACUGACACUGACGCUGAGGUGCGAAAGCGUGGGUAGCAAACAGGAUUAGAUACCCGUGUAGUA
rnacentral:rRNA from 1 species